rnacentral:rRNA from 1 species
UACGUAGGUGGCGAGCGUUGUCCGGAAUUACUGGGCGUAAAGGGCGCGUAGGCGGCUCUUUAAGUCAGAUGUGAAAACCCAGGGCUUAACUUUGGGAGUGCAUUUGAAACUGGAGGGCUCGAGUGCAGGAGAGGUAAGUGGAAUUCCUAGUGUAGCGGUGAAAUGCGUAGAUAUUAGGAGGAACACCAGUGGCGAAGGCGACUUACUGGACUGUAACUGACGCUGAGGCGCGAAAGCGUGGGGAGCAAAC